GGAUGUGAGGGAGAUCUGGCUGCAACAUCUGUCACCCCACUGAUUGCCAGGGUUGAUUCAGCUGAUUCGGCUGGCUAGGUGGAUGUCCCCUUCCUCCCUCACUGCUCCGUGUGCGUCCCUCCCGAAGCUGCGUGCUUGGUCGACAGUAUGACCUUCCCCGACAGAGGAGAGGACCGUUCUUCGGUCAAGGGUAUGUGAGUUGCUGCGCUCCCCCGCUGGAACCUCCAAACAAGCUCUCAAGGUCCACUUGUAGGAGAACAUAGGGUAGUCAAGCUUCCAAGACUCCAGACACAUCCAAAAGAGGCGCUGCAUGUGGCAGUCUGCCUUUCUUU
rnacentral:snRNA from 1 species